UGUACAACCUCACCANAGUACCAAUUGGAGGGCAAGUCUGGUGCCAGCAGCCGCGGUAAUUCCAGCUCCAAUAGCGUAUAUUAAACUUGUUGCAGUUAAAAAGCUCGUAGUUGUAUUUCAGCCUCGCGUUUUUUCCCUUUUGUUGGGUCUUUUCGCUGGCUUUUUUUUUACUUUGAGAAAAUUAGAGUGUUUCAAGCAGACUUUUGUCUUGAAUACUUCAGCAUGGAAUAAUAGAGUAGGACCUUGGUUCUAUUUUGUUGGUUUUGAGCCUUGGUAAUGGUUAAUAGGAACGGUUGGGGGCAUUCGUAUUUAACUGUCAGAGGUGAAAUUCUUAG
rnacentral:rRNA from 1 species